AGCUCAAAUAGUACACAAGUUUCAGUGACUAAAGCUAGAUGGAAGACAAUGUUGGUGCUCUGAAACAUUAAUGGGCCCAUGAGCCUAAUAUUUUCAAGUUGUUCUGACACCACUGUGGUGUUUACAAAAAGGGACAUUCACAAUAGAAAACAGAGUUGAACAAUAUUUUCUGCUAUCGACAUAAUAUGACUGAGUGAAAUUGGGACACUAAUGUUUUAUCAAAACGUUUCGCAACACGAAAAAUGAUGUUUUGUCUAAAACAGAAAAAGUUGUUCGUACAGACAGAAUACAUAACUGGUGUGUAUUUUGAAUUUGGUUAAGUCUGUUAUGGCACUGUCUGCUAAAUAAAACAAGACAGUCCUUUCCAUUGUGCAGCGAUUGUAUAGAGCUUGAAUAGAGCUUAACUGGUUGCAAACUGGAGAUUGUACUCCUGGUCCAUAGAACGAGAAACACAUUUUAUGAAUCUGGAAUAAUGCCUAACCUGAUAGAUAAUAAACGCAGGGUAGGUGAAUAGACCACAUAUUCAGGUGAAUAUGGACUACGGGAAAGAAAUGAAAGAGGUAGAAUUUUGCACAGAGUAUAAUUUAAUCAUAGCUAACAUUUGGUUUAAGAAUCAUAAAAGAAGGUUGCAUUUAUGGAGACACCUGAACGUUUCAGAUUGAUUAUAUAAUGACAAAACAAAGAUUUCGGAACCACAUUUUAAAUUAUAAGACAUUUCCAGGAGCAGAUGUGGACUCUGACCACAAUUUAUUGGUUGUGAACUGUAAAUUAAAACUGAAGGAACUACAAAAAGGUAGGAAUUUUCAGCUAAUGAGACCUGGAUAAAAUGAAAGAAUCAGUUGAGGGAUGAAAUAGUGAAGACAGCAGAGGAUCAAGCUAGGUAAAAAGAAGAGGGCUAGUAGAAAUCAUUGGGUAACACAAGAGAGACUGAAUUUAAUUUAUGAAAGAAGAAAUUAUAAAAAUGCGGUAAAUGAAACAGGUGAAUGGAAAUACACACAUCUAUAAAAUGAGAUUGACAGGGAGCGCAAAAUGACUAAGCAGGAAUGGCUGUAAGACAAAUGUAAGAAUUUAGAAGCAUAUAUCACUAGAGGAAAGAUAGAUGCCUCCUACGAGAAAAUUAAAGCGAUAUUUGGAGAAAAGAAAACCACCUAUAUUAAGAGCUCAGAUGGAAAACCAGCCCUAAGCAAAGAAGGGAAAGCAGAAAGGUAGAAGGAGUAUACAGGGUGUUACAAAAAGGUACGGCCAAACUUUCGGGAAACAUUCCUCACACACAAAGAAAGAAAAUAUGUUAUGUGGACAUGUGUCCGGAAACGCUUACUUUCCAUGUUAGAGCUCAUUUUAUUACUUCUCUUCAAAUCACAUUAAUCAUGGAAUGGAAACACACAGCAACAGAAUGUACCAGCGUGACUUCAAACACUCUGUUACAGGAAAUGUUCAAAAUGUCCUCUGUUAGCGAGGAUACAUGCAUCCAUCCUCCGUCGCAUGGAAUCCCUGAUGCGCUGAUGCAGCCCUGGAGAAUAGCGUAUUGUAUCACAGCCGUCCACAAUACGAGCACGGAGAGUCUCUACCGGGGUUGCGUAGACAAGAGCUUUCAAACGCCCCCAUAAAUGAAAGUCAAGAAGGUUGAGGUCAGGAGAGUGUGGAGGCCAUGGAAUUGGUCCACCUCUACCAAUCCAUCGGUCACUGAAUCUGUUGUUGAGAAGCAGACGAACACUUCGACUGAAAUGUGCAGGAGCUCCAUCGUGCAUGAACCACGUGUUGUGUCGUACUUGUAAAGGCACAUGUUCUAGCAGCACAGGUAGAGUAUCCCGUAUGAAAUAAUGAUAACGUGCUCCAUUGAGCGUAGGUGGACGAAACUAAAAUGAGCUCUAACAUGGAAAUUAAGCAUUUCCGGACACAUGUCCACAUAACAUCUUUUCUUAAUUUGUGUGUGAGGAAUGUUUCCUGAAAGUUUGGCUGUACCUUUUUGUAAUACCCUGUAUAGAGGACCUAUACAACAGAGAUGCACAUGAGGGCAAUAUUAUGGAGAUAAAAGAGGACAUAGAUGAAGAUGAGAUGGGAGACAUGAUACUGUGUGAAGAAUUUGACAGAGCACUGAAGGAUCUAAGUCAAAACGAGACCCCGGUACCAGACAACAUUCUAUUAGAACUACUGAUAGCCUUGGGAAAUCCAACCAUGAUAAAACUCUUCCUUCUGGUGAGCAAGAUAUAUGAGACAGGUGAAAUACCUUCAGACCUCAAGAAGAAUAUAAUAAUACCAAUUCGAAAGAAAGCAGAGGCUGACAGACGUGAAAAUUAUGGAACUAUCAGUUUAAUAAGUCACAGAUGCAAAAUACUUAACAAACAUUCUUUAGAGAAGUAUGGAAAAACUGGCCUUAGGGAAGAUCAAUUUGGAUUCCAGAGAAAUAUAAGAACACAUGAGGCAAUAUUGGCCCAAUAACUUCUCAUACAAGAUAGUUCAAGGAAAGGCAAACAUACAUUUAUAGCAUUUGUAGACUUAGAGAAAGCUGUUGACAAAGUUGGCUGGAAUACUCUCUUUCAAAUUAUAAAAGGUGGUAAGGGUAAAACAAAGGGAGAGAAAGGCUAUUUACAAUUUGUACAGAAACUAGAUUUCAGGGGUAUGAAAGGGAAGCAGUGGUUGGUAAGGGUUAUAAUGUAUCCACAAUGUUAUAUAAUCUGUAUAUUGAGGAAGCACCAAAGGAAACAAAAGAAAAAUUUGGAUUGGAAUUAAAAUCCAGGGAGAGGAACUAAAAACUUUGGAAAACUUUUCUGAAAGUAUUUGUACGGAGUGUAUGGAAGUGAAACAUGGACGAUAAACAGUUUAGACAGGGAAAGGAUAGAAGCUUUUGCUGAAGAUUGGAUGGGUGGAUUACAUAAUGAAUGAGGCGCUACUGAAUAGAACUGGGAAGAAAAGAAAUCUGUGGCUCAACGUGACUAGACAAAUGGAUCGGUUGGUAAGAGACAUUCCGAGACAUCAAGGGAUAACCAAUUUAGUACUGGAGGGAAGCAUUGGGGUAAAAAUCGUAUAGCGAGACCAAGAGAUGAAUACAGUAAGCAGAUUCAGAAGGGUGUAGGUUGCGGUAGUUACUCAGAAAUGAAGAGGCUUGCACAGGAUAGAGUAGCAUGGAGAGCUGCAUCAAACCAGUCUUUGGACUGAAGACCACAACUACUUAAUCGGCGAUUUCUGUCUGGUUAGCAAGUUUAAUGGGGGAUUAAAUUUUCAAGAUUGCAGGGAUAGUGACACAUGCAGACAGCUAUGACAAGAUUUUGGCUGAACUGUUUGUCAGACUGAGGAGGGAGAAGGAAGUGAGAUGACACUGAUUCCGAAUUUACAUCCAGAUUUCGCGUAUCAAAGGAAGCCGCACUUCGUCUUUUCAAUCUUUUACGUGAGAAACUGGAACAUACGAGACUCAGAAAUGGCUCUGUACCACCAGUAAACCAGCUGCUACAGACGCUCAAAUAUUUUGCCUAUGAUGAGUUCCUUCUGUCCAUUGGAGACUUAAUUUGUUUGUAUUGGCAAGGGGUAGCCAGCAGGAUUAUUAAAAUUAUGUGUAUGACAUAGACAACAUGCACAAUAGACAGUUUUUUUUAAUUAUUUUAAAUCUCUGAUGUAAUUAAAUGAAAAUAAACAAACAAAUUUAUAUAGA